rnacentral:misc_RNA from 1 species
GAUGAAGAACGUAGCGAAAUGCGAUACUUGGUGUGAAUUGCAGAAUCCCGUGAACCAUCGAGUCUUUGAACGCAAGUUGCGCCUCAAGCCAUUAGGUUGAGGGCACGUCUGCCUGGGCGUCACAUAUCGUUGCCUGAUGCCAGUUUCCUCGUGAUGGGUGACUGUGCAGGGCGAAUGAUGGCUUCCCGUGAGCAUUGUUGCCUCAUGGUUGGUUGAAAAUUGAGUCCUUGGUAGGGAGCGCCGUGAUAGAUGGUGGUUGAGUGACGAACGAGACCCAAUCAUGUGAGACCCCUACCGAAUUUGGCCUUCAUGACCCACAUGCGUCUUUGGAACGCUCAUGACGAGACCUCAGGUCAGGCGGGGCUACCCGCUGAGAUUAAGCAUAUCAAUAAGCGGAGGA